CCUACGGGAGGCAGCAGUAGGGAAUCUUCCACAAUGGGCGAAAGCCUGAUGGAGCAACGCCGCGUGGGUGAAGAAGGUCUUCGGAUCGUAAAACCCUGUUGUUAGAGAAGAAAGUGCGUGAGAGUAACUGUUCACGUUUCGGCGGUAUCUAACCAGAAAGCCACGGCUAACUACGUCCCAGCAGCCGCGUUAAUACGUAGGUGGCAAGCGUUAUCCGGAUUUAUUGGGCGUAAAGGGAACGCAGGCGGUCUUUUAAGUCUGAUGUGAAAGCCUUCGGCUUAACCGGAGUAGUGCAUUGGAAACUGGGAGACUUGAGUGCAGAAGAGGAGAGUGGAACUCCAUGUAUAGCGGUGAAAUGCGUAGAUAUAUGGAAGAACACCAGUGGCGAAAGCGGCUCUCUGGUCUGUAACUGACGCUGAGGUUCGAAAGCGUGGGUAGCAAACAGGAUUAGAUACCCUUGUAGUC
rnacentral:rRNA from 1 species